UGACAAGCCAUACGGUGGGUCGUGGGAUCUGGUUCCCUGAUCAAGAGCCAGAGAAACAAGAUGCAACAAUAGCCUUCUGGUGGGGUGAACUUAGAUUAAUGGAAUAGGAGCUGGGAAGAUAACACCCCACAACACUCUCCCUCUCACAGACUGCUUCAAAGGAUGAUUCUCCAGAUUACCUGUCCACAUGUGGCCAGUAUCCUGAGACUUCAAUGGCAGGCGUCUAGCACAGCACCCAGAAUAUAGUUGGUGCUUUAACUACCACAGACUCAGCGUGUUGCCUUGAACAACCUCUGCGACCAGGGGUUCAGAACACCAAAGUUUUAAUAAAGCUUAUUCAUUAGCAUUGUGCUAUUAUGCAAGUCA